ensembl:lncRNA
AGUUGCUCAGUGACCAGAGAGUCUUCACCCUGAGGGCAGGAACCUGUGCUGUCGGCACCGCAUACAGCUGGCGCUCCAUAAGUACUUGCUGAACGAACAGAUGAAAAGCUGGACACACGGACUGCAACCCCUCCCUCCUCCCUCCCUCCCUCCCUUCUCUCCUUCCUUCCUGCCUUCUCUCCACAGAUAGUUGUUGAGCACCUAGUAUGUGCCGGGCAACCGGGACCCACUGGUGAAGGGAACAGCCAAAGAUGCCCGUCCUCGCGGAGCUGACGUUCUAGAGAGGAUGCCGGUCAUCCACGCGGUCAUCCUGCAAACACGGCAGCUGGGGGAGCGGCCACACACCUGCUGCAGGUGGCUGGACCCCCAGGGCUGGGAGAGCCCCCCGGGGAAGCACGCCCACUACUCGCUCCGCCGGGAGAGCCGUGGGAGUGAGAGGCACGCACACACAUUAAACAAGAGGAAGCCCUGGGCUGCGGACCUGCCCUUCCAGCCCGGAAGGGUCCCUGAGGAAGUGACGCCCUGAACACGGAGCCGGAUCUCCGCGACCGCGAGGAAGACUAUUCCCUUCCCAGCAGGGGCAGCAGCCCGGCAAAGGCAGGAAGCCUGCCCCACCCUGGGAAGCUGGUGGCUCCGCACGAGAUGGCCCUCUCUGGCCUGGCUUUCUCCUUUUGCGGAAAGGGAACAGUCCCCCUGACAACAGACAGGGGUGUCGGAUCACUCUCCGGGAGCCUUUUAGAGGGCUGGGCGAGGCACUUGAUCUAAAGCUUUCUUUUCUCUUUUUUUGCAGUAUAGUUGCUUAACAAUGUUGUGUUAGUCUCUGCUGUACAGCGAAGCAAACCAGCCACACAUGGACGUGUGCCCCCUCUUCCCUGGAUUUCCUUCCCAAUUAGGUCACCGAGGCUCUAGGUCACCGUGAGUUGUAUUCUCCCUGUAUUUCCCACUCGGCUGUGAGCACAGGGGGUGCUCAGGGCACUUCUGGUGAUUAAAUGAGCCAGUGAGUCUCGGUUUCCUCAUCUGUGUGAUGGGAUGACGCUGGUGUGGCCACAGGGAAGGAAUGAACCGCUCUUUAUAACUUGCAUUGUCUCCUGGGGGUGGGUCAGGCCUCUGGGGACCCCCUCAAGUCCUGGAAGAUGACCUUCGGGCUGAGGGAGACAGAGACAAGAGGGCAGACACAACAGCCCUCCAGCUCUGCACGUGAAGGCAGGACCCUGAGUGCUUAGAAGGAAAUGACAGGCCGCCUCAUUCACAAUGGAAGGAAACUGAGGUGGGGAAAGGAAGACUCAGGCAGGUAAGCCAAGGCCAUGCCCCCUGUGAAUGGGGGACCUGAGAUGGGCACACAGAUCUGGCUCCAGAACCCAGAACCGAAACCCUGGGAUGUCCUGGGGGGAGGUGGAGGGAAGAGAGGAGGGAAGCCUGGGAGAGACGGAAGAUAAGCCCUUGUCUGGGGGCCGCGGGCAGUGGAAUAAAUGAUUACAAGAGUGAGUCACCUGGGGUCAGUUCCACGUCCAUUCUACCCUGGAUGACCCAGGGUAAAUUGAAGAAGCCCCAAUUUCAGCCCACCCCAGCAACUUAGAAUUUUCUCUGCUUCAUUCCUUCACUCAUUCAUGCAAUCAUUCAGUCAACAGAAAACAAAGUUCAGGAUGACACAAACACAGCCCCGUAAACAAUAAAUGUAAAUGGGUUGAACGGGUCUAUUAAAACACAAAGACUCUUGUAUGAGAUCAAAAAUCAAAAUCCAGUCAUUUAUUCGUGGACCUAAUAUUUAUUAAAUGCCUAAAAUAUUCAAGGUCCGGUUUUAGAUUCUAAUGAUAGAACCUAAAAAUAAAACGUCUGCUGGUGGAAAAACACCGGGAAAAGGUGAUCCAGGGAGAGACGUGAAGGUGCAAAACACUGAGGCUGCAGUGAGCUGGAGGAGGGAGGAGCAGAAGGGGGCCCCUGUGGCCAGAGAGCAGCACCGUGAGCAUGGGGAGCGAAGCAGCAGAGGCCCCGCCAGGUUGGGAACAGAGAGCAGCGGCAGCAGCAAGCAGGGCCCAGACGCAGCGGAC